AGGAAAACAUGCUGCAAAUUAGGAGAUGGUGGUGUCUCGCUCUCCUGCAGAACUUCCCCAUGCCGUCUGAAGAAGACCGAUUGCAGGACAGAAAACGGCGACGAGUGCAAGGAGGGCUACAGACAGUGGAAAAUGAACAGAACUGGAAACAGGGAACAGGGUUGCUUGUUAUGGG